UAGGGAGUGGAAUGUGCAGCGCACAAAAUCACGUUUUGAGAGUGUCCUGUAGAAAAAAAACCAAAAAAUAUCUUGUCGGCCUCGAACCUUCUCGCUAUCUCCCUGCCCCUCGUAUCGUCGCCCCCUUCAUGAUGCCGCCUCUGCUCUUCUCUCGGCUCUACUUCCUGCCAGCCUCCUUUAAUUUUCUGCUAUGUCAGGGAGAACGGCACUGCCUCUUGAGAGCUCGGCCUUGCAUCAGAUGGGUUAAGCGGCAGGGACUCCACAACAGCACCAGUUGAAGAUACUGCUGCUCUUCUAGAGUUCAGGUUUUGCAGGAGUGCGUCUUAGGAAACUGGGAAAUAUUGUUUAAGAUAAUUAUUGUUGUUUCAUUUUGUCCUUUCCUUUCAUUGUAUCCCCUUCUAUUAUUUCACUUUCUAACUAUAACCUGAAUCGAAGUGUGUUGGUUUUGUUCAAAAGAGUAGACUUGACCUGCAGGAUGCACUUGCCAAAAUUGUGACAGCUGGAAAGUUUGGUUAUUUGCUUGACCUGCAGGAUGCAUUUGCUUGCUUUACUUGAUCUAUCUAUUUCCGAACCUGCAGUGAUCUAGUUAUUUGUAUUUUGUUUGCAUGUAUUAUUGAUGUUUAUUCAAUCAAAUUGGAUUUAGAAAGUUACCACACAACAAUAAUGAACCUGAUGGCCUUCUAGACUUUGGUGCCAAUUUAGGGUGACUAUACUGCCCCACGGUGGUAGUUUUUGGGCAGCUCUCUUCUGAACCCCCACUGUUAUUUUGGGUUGAGAUCCAGCUGGGCAGGUUGACCCAAUAUGAGAGAUGCGUGGGGACUUUCCACAGCCAUUACAGAUCUACUCCUUCCUUUACUUGCUCUUUUUCCAUAGAUUGUUUUUGAACUCCUUUUCUGUUUCUAUAGAUGUGGAUGCUGCUUAUAAUACUAUUCCUACUAGUUGCAAUGUGUUUCUGGAAGGAUUUUGUAUAUAUUUUUUCAUUACGAAGAACAUACCAUGUUGUCCUUGUGCUUAUGAGCUUAUCUAAUAUGUUGUCAUCAA